AAACGAUGUGGAAAUACGCAGACAACCAGGAUGUUGGCUCAGAAGCAGCCACUCAUUUAAAGAGUGCGUAAUAGCUCACUGGUCGAGAGACCCUGCGCCGAAGAUUACCGGGGCUAAAGUACGAAACCGAAGCUGUGGCUACGACUUAGGUCGUGGGGUAGGGGAGCGUUCUGUGAGGGCUGAAGUCGUUCUGUAAGGAACGGUGGACUUCACAGAAGUGAGAAUGUUGGUAUGAGUAGCGAAAAGAAUGGUGAGAAUCCAUUCCACCGAAAGCAUAAGGAUUCCUGGGCAACGAUCGUCGUCCCAGGGUAAGUCGGGACCUAAUCCGAGGCAUGGAGCGUAGGAGAUGGACAACUGGCAGAUAUUCCAGUACCGGUAAUGAUUGUUUGAGCGAUGGAGUGACACAGGAGGGCAGGCAGGCAGGAGAUUGGUUGUUCCUGUACAAGCGUGUAGGGUGGAACGUAGGCAAAUCCGCGUUCUGAGAGCCUGAGGCGUGAUGUGGAGGUUCCGGAAACGGAACUGAAGCUGCUGACCCCACACUGUCGAGAAAAGCUUCUAGUUAGAAAAUUACCGCCCGUACCGUAAACCGACACAGGUAUGCGGGGAGAGAAUCCUAAGGUGCGCGGGAGAACCCUCGUUAAGGAACUCGGCAAAAUGUACCCGUAACUUCGGGAUAAGGGUAGCCGCUGUUGUGAAGUCUGAACAGAUGGAGCAUGAGGCGGUCGCAGAGAAGAGGCCCAAGCGACUGUUUACCACAAACACAGGUGCCUGCUAAAGAGAAAUCUGACGUAUAGGUGCUGACACCUGCCCAGUGCCGGAAGGUUAAGGAAGGAUGUCCGGAGCAAUCCAAAGCAUUCGACCGAAGCCCCGGUGAACGGCGGCCGUAACUAUAACGGUCCUAAGGUAGCGAAAUUCCUUGUCGGGUAAGUUCCGACCCGCACGAAAGGUGUAACGAUUUGGGCACUGUCUCAACGAGGGACCCGGUGAAAUUGAAGUACCUGUGAAGAUGCAGGUUACCCGCGACUGGACAGAAAGACCCCAUGGAGCUUUACUGUAACCUGACAUUGGGUUCUGAUACAUCACGUACAGGAUAGGUGGGAGGCAUGGAAGCGAGGACGCUAGUCUUCGUGGAGCCGCCGUUGGGAUACCACCCUUGAUGUAUCGGAAUUCUAACCGUAGGAGUAACGAAACUCGGGACAGUGUCAGGCGGGCAGUUUGACUGGGGCGGUCGCCUCCCAAAGAGUAACGGAGGCGCCCAAAGGUACGCUCAGAUUGGAUGGAAACCAAUCGUCGAGUGCAAUUGCAGAAGCGUGCUUGACUGUGAGACUUACAAGUCGAACAGGGACGAAAGUCGGGAAUAGUGAUCCGGCGGUGCCGAAUGGAAGGGCCGUCGCUCAACGGAUAAAAGCUACCCUGGGGAUAACAGGCUGAUCUCCCCCAAGAGUCCACAUCGACGGGGAGGUUUGGCACCUCGAUGUCGGCUCAUCGCAUCCUGGGGCUGUAUUCGGUCCCAAGGGUUUGGCUGUUCGCCAAUUAAAGCGGUACGCGAGCUGGGUUCAGAACGUCGUGAGACAGUUCGGUCCCUAUCUGUCGUGGGCGCAGGAUAUUUGAUGGGAGCUGUCCCUAGUACGAGAGGACCGGGACGGACGUACCUCUGGCGCACCAGUUGUUCCGCCAGGAGCAUAGCUGGGCAACUACGUACGGAUCGGAUAAACGCUGAAAGCAUCUAAGCGUGAAGCCGACCCAAAGAUAAGAUAUCCCAUUGUUUUAAACAAGUAAGACCCCUUGAAGACUACAAGGUUGAUAGGCACGAUGUGUAAGUGGAGCGAUCCAUUCAGCAAGCGUGUACUAAUAGGUCGAGGGCUUGACCAC
rnacentral:rRNA from 1 species